rnacentral:lncRNA from 1 species
UUGGGAAGAUUCCCCUGGAGAAGGAAAUAGCAACCCACUCCAGUAUUCUUUUCUGGAAAAUCCUAUGGACAAAGGAGCUUGGUGGGCUGCAGUCCAUGGGGUCACAAAGAGUCAGACAUGACUCAAUGAUGGAGCAACAUGAAACCCAGAUGAGUGAAAGAGAGGAAAAACUUUAUCCCUGGUCAGCUUGAAGUAUUGCUCUGUAAACUGAUCCAUCCUGCUGAUUUUUCAAAGUCUGCAGAAGCCUGAGUGGCCUGUUGCACAGUCUACCCAAGGGACAUGGACUUGGUCAUCCAUGGCACAGAAGAGAUCCGACCUCAAAUCGAGAUAAAGGCAUAUUCUCUAAGAAGACAUUUGAGGUUCAAACACCUUAAUGUUGAAUUUCAGGCAACUUCUCAGCUCAAUGAGGAAGAAACAUCAGGGCAGUGUGCUGCUUUAAGGGCAUUUGAAUACACAAGAUACCAUGAUUUUUCCUGACAACACAGGGCAGGUGGACACACCUGUUAUCUAAAUUAUGCGAUUUAUCCAGUUGAAGAGGCUUCUUGUAAGUAAAUAACAUGAAAAAUUUUCAUAUUCUUACAUAUAAUAAGACCGUGUAACAACUUUGCUCCAAUUUUUAAUUAAAUAGCAUAUUAAGUCACUUUUCCCCAGUGACUUAAAGUGGAAUAACUUGAGAUAAAUAAAUCAUAUAAUUCAUGAUUAGAUUGUUUAGUCAUUCAGUCGUGNNNNNNNNNNNNNGACCCCAUGGAUUGUAGCCCUCCAGGCUCCUCUGCCUAUGGGAUUCUCCAGGGAAGAAUACUGCAGUGGGUUGUCAUUUCAUCCUCCAGGGGAUCUUCCUGACCCAGGGAUCAAACUCACAUCUUCUGCAUUGGCAGGUGGGUUCUUUACCUCUGAACCACCCGGGAAGCCUAUGCUUAAGUUAGUAAAGAAAAUUAAAAGCUCAUUUACAAAGUCGAAUACAUUGUGUAAAUAGUGUUGAUAUUACAAACAACUUCAGCUUUCAAAUUUAUUCAUACAUCUGAACUGUCCUCUCCAAAACUCCUAAUAGACUUUCUGAGGGUAUCUAAAUUGUACAGGAUUUUAUGUGUAUUUUAGUGGUCCUUCAGUCCCAGAGUAGUAGAUAAUUGAAAUAUGUCUUUUGAAUGUAGAUUGUAUACUGAUCAUCUCAUCAACUCCUAGAACCUAUCUGAGACAACAGCUAUGAUGAAAAGCAGAGUCUGGACAUAUAAUCUGAAAGGACAGUUGAUUCUGUGCUC